GGUAAUUCUACUAUUAGAAGUGGAAAAAGAGUGAUGCUAAAUUCACAAAAACUCCGUAGUUCAAUCAGUAAAAUCCUAAAGAAGAUUAAGGUUAAAAUUCAGUAGAGCCAGCCUUGCACCUUCUUAUCUAUGAUUCUGCGUUCGAUUUCUUCAGCAAAAGACUGAAUUUUGUAUCUCCAUCACAUUUUGUUUCCUAUAGGUCCUUACCCAGGUGCGUGGUCCCCAGUGAACCUCGACCAUCCGGCGACAUUCCAAACACUGGCCAUGGACCUAGAGCUCAAGAAGAAGAUCAUGGAUGAUCUCGACAGGUUUGUGAGAAGGAGGGAGUACUACAGGAGAGUUGGCAAGGCGUGGAAAAGAGGGUACUUAUUGUAUGGACCCCCUGGAACGGGGAAAUCGAGUUUGGUCGCUGCGAUGGCCAAUUACUUGAACUUCGACAUAUACGACCUAGAACUGAGCGGGCUCCUGAGCAAUGCGGAUCUCAGGAGGCUGCUUGUCGAGACCAAGAAUCAAUCCAUAUUGGUGGUUGAGGACAUCGAUUGCACCAUUCAGUUGCAAGAUAGGAAGUCGGAAACACAAGCCGCCAACAUGAAUUUGAUGUUGAUGGGUUAUAAGCGACAAGAUCGAGUACAAUUUUUACUUCUUGCUUUCUUUUUGAGUAUAAGUUCUAGUACUAUGAGCAUGAUUUGUCCUCGACAUUUAACUCAUGUUUGUCACUACAACAUUAAUUUUUUCCUCAUGGAAUAGGUGACAUUGUCUGGAUUCCUCAACUUCAUUGACGGGCUUUGGUCAAGUUGUAGUGACGAGCGGAUCAUAGUUUUCACGACGAACCACAUUGAGAAAUUAGACCCAGCCCUAUUGCGGCCAGGGCGCAUGGACUUGCACAUUCACAUGUCUUAUUGCACCCCUUGCGGGUUCAGGCUUCUCGCUUCUAAUUAUCUCGGGAUCGAUCACCACGAGCUCUUUGACCAGAUCGAGAGUGCGAUCACAACAGCCAGAGUCACUCCAGCCGAAGUAGCGGAGCAGUUGAUGAAGUGCGACGAACCGGAGGUCGCUCUUGGGGACAUGGUUUCAUUCCUCAUUAAUCACAAGAGAAAAGAAAAUGAAGAAGUCAUUGAGGAGAGAGUUGGUCGGUCCCAAUUGGUUGAAGAGAAUGGAAGGCGUGAAGAAGAAAGCAGUGAGUGCGAACUAUUGGAAGAAUAAACAAUACAUCAACUGUGUUGGUACGUUUCCAUCGAUUUUAACUUAGACUAUCAUAAAGAUCUUGAUUAUUAUGGAUUCAAUUACAAAAGCGAUCGAUGGAAAGCUAUUGUAUUGUCAUCCGAAUUAUUAAUAAUCUAAGUCAAAUGGUAAAAUCAUGUGAUCAAAUAGAGUAGAUGAUAUUUUUUAGCGAUUGAUAUUCAUAUCGUGCCGAUGGUAUAAUUUGAUCAUGUAGUUAUCGCGUCAAGGACUUACAAUCAGACACUAAUGAUUUCUCAUGUUUUGGGCCUCCCAUGACAUCUUGUAUUUGCUUGGAUUGGCUGAAACCAUUCCCUGUCCGAUUUAGACCAACCAUUGGGGUCAAGGUCAUUUCGGUCUUUUUGUGCCCCAUUGGCGAGAUGGAAAUUUUCUCUUUUUUCCUUUUCUUUUAAUAUUACAGGGGUUCUGGACUUAUUUGAGUUUAAUAUGAUAAUCCUCCACCGCACACAUAUCGAAUAAUUACUAGAUUCACAUAGGUCUAUGCUCUGAGUAUAUGGUCUUAACAAAAAUGCCCAAAUACGAUGGUUCGAAUUGGAUCGAUGAGCGAUAAGUGAAGAUGAGGUUAUCACUUGGUAAUCUUUUAGGGUUUGUUUUUAUCCUAGAAAACGACAAGCUUAGCAAAAGCAGAACGACCGACAAAAGGUUCCAACAAACCCUGGUUAUUCAUAUCGUGCAGCAGGAGUUAAGGAGAGAUUGUUAUAUAAAUCAUUUCUAAAUGCAACUGAUUUACGGGAAUUUUGAUCUUUAAAUAGUCCAGCCAAUCGAUGAAUGAGUUUAUACUAUCUAAUUAAACGAAAUCGUAGUGGAAUGUGCCGUGAUUUCGCCCUUACAUCGAGAUGCAAAUUCAGUGAAUUUGAUAAUUCCAUGGGAUUGGUCGAUCUGAUUUUAACAUCAAGAUCAAAGUGUACGAAGAGACUCAGGACAGUGCAUGAAUCAGCUUGGUCGAGAAGGUAACACAAAAGCGCAUCAUGCAUUUGUACCUUUGUGCUUUACAGUCAGAUUUCCAUAGGACCAACUCAUUGACAAUAACAUAUCCAUCUACAAUUCUCUAAUCCUCUGUUGGUUCUUUCCCGAGUGCAUGGUUGCCAGUGAACCUGGACCAUCCGGCGGCAUUCCAGACGCUGGCCAUGGACCUAGAGCUCAAGAAGAAGAUCCUCAACGAUCUCGACAGGUUCGUGAG
rnacentral:lncRNA from 1 species